CUAUUUCAUCACCUUCCUCUUUUGACAUUUCCCUUUUAUUCUCUGGAUGAAGUCAUAAACAGUUAGUCAAAGACUCAGAGCAGAGACAGGUACAGUAAAGAAACAGACACAGGGGCAACUAUAUUACCAGAAUCUGUAUAUAGACAGAAAACACAGUAAGUUGUUGGAGAGGUCAUCUAUGCUUAGCCAGAUAUGAACAAGGUCACGUUUGACAGAGGUGAGAUGGAGGAGAGGAUUGUGGAUAUCUACGUCAGUGCAGACACCCUGAGAGACGGUGAGACCAGCACCAAGAGAGAAGAGACAGAGGACACUGCUCCUAAUAAUGGACCAGGAGACCAGCACUCAGAGCCUGAUAGCUCAGGGAAGAGACCCUUCCUAGUUGCUGCAGUGUUUCUGGGGCUGCUGUGUGUUCUACUGGCUGGGAUCAUAGGCCUGUCUGUCUACUAUAACAGAGUCAUCAAAGAUUCUGAGGAUAAAAGGAACAUCUUGUCACAGAGUUGUUCCCUUUAUAAGACUAACACAACUGCAGAGAGAGACCAGCUACAGACCAAAUACAACAACCUGACUGAAGAGAGAGACCAGUUACAGACCAGAUACAACAACCUGACUGAUGAGAGAGACCAGCUACAGACCAGAUACAACAACCUGACUGGAAGAGAGAGACAGGCUUCAGAAUUUGCUUUGUGAAAGAACAUGUUGUUCAUACGGAUGGAAGAAGUUUGAAUGCAGUUGUUACUUCAUCUCUACUGAGAAGAAAACCUGGGAGAAGAGCAG